AAUCUUAUGUUUUUUCUAUAAGACAGUUUCUGCCCAAUGAUUUUUUUAAUGGCCGCAGUACCUUGACUGUGCUAAGGUAGCAUAAUAAGUUGGCUUUUAAAUGAGGUCUAGAAUGAAAGAACGAUUGGAUAAAAGUUGUCUCUUUUUUGUUAAAAUGAAAUUAUUUAUUAGGUGAAAAGACCUUUAUUUUAAGAAAGACGAGAAGACCCUUAGAAUUUUAAUCUAUUUUUUUGUUGGGGUGACACAUAAACAUAAAAACUUUUUUUUUAACCAGAAGAUUUAUCAGUUAGAAAAAAUUACCUUAGGGAUAACAGCAUAAUUUUUUUUUAAGAUUAUGACCUCGAUGUUGGACUAGGAACCUAAUAAUUAGUAAUUAAGUUGGUAAGUUCUGUUCGAACUUUUUCUCCU
rnacentral:rRNA from 1 species